UGUGUGUGUGUGUGUGUGUGUGUGUGUGUGUGUGCUGCUGUGUGUCCCUGUGUGUGUAACAACAUAGUGUUGUCCCUGUGUACGAGCCUAGGAGCAUUUUACUAAUUCUGUUAUAAUAACAUGAAAUGCUGCGUUAUUGACGUUAAGGUUUUUGUUGGUCAA